rnacentral:rRNA from 1 species
UACGUAGGGUGCAAGCGUUGUCCGGAAUUAUUGGGCGUAAAGAGCUCGUAGGCGGUUUGUCGCGUCUGCUGUGAAAAUCCGGGGCUCAACCCCGGACUUGCAGUGGGUACGGGCAGACUAGAGUGAUGUAGGGGAGACUGGAAUUCCUGGUGUAGCGGUGAAAUGCGCAGAUAUCAGGAGGAACACCAAUAGCGAAGGCAGCUCGCUGGGACGUUACUGACACUGAGGCGCGAAAGCGUGGGGAGCGAACAGG